UACAGAGGGGGCAAGCGUUAUUCGGAAUUAUUGGGCGUAAAGGGCGCGUAGGCGGCUUUGCAAGUGGCGGGUGAAAUCCCUCGGCUUAACCGAGGAACUGCCUGUCAAACUGCAUGGCUUGAGACCAGGAGAGGUGAGUGGAAUUCCCAGUGUAGCGGUGAAAUGCGUAGAUAUCGGAAGGAACAUCAGUGGCGAAGGCGACUUCCUGGACCAAUACUGACGCUCAGGUGCGAAAGCGUGGGGAGCAAACAGGGAUUAAGAAACCCUUGUAAC
rnacentral:rRNA from 1 species